rnacentral:rRNA from 1 species
GACGAAGGGGGCUAGCGUUGCUCGGAAUCACUGGGCGUAAAGCGCACGUAGGCGGCUUGUUAAGUCAGGGGUGAAAUCCUGGAGCUCAACUCCAGAACUGCCUUUGAUACUGGCGAGCUUGAGUUCGGGAGAGGUGAGUGGAACUGCGAGUGUAGAGGUGAAAUUCGUAGAUAUUCGCAAGAACACCAGUGGCGAAGGCGGCUCACUGGCCCGAUACUGACGCUGAGGUGCGAAAGCGUGGGGAGCAGACAGG